rnacentral:misc_RNA from 1 species
AAGUCGUAACAAGGUUUCCGUAGGUGAACCUGCGGAAGGAUCAUUAAUGAAUUUGGAGAAUUGAUGCUGGCCUCUCUGAGUACGAUUUAUGCGAAUAAGUCAAAACUUUCAACAACGGAUCUCUUGGUUCUG